rnacentral:rRNA from 1 species
GACGAACGCUGGCGGCGUGCCUAAUACAUGCAAGUUGAGCGCUGAAGGUUGGUACUUGUACCAACUGGAUGAGCAGCGAACGGGUGAGUAACGCGUGGGGAAUCUGCCUUUGAGCGGGGGACAACAUUUGGAAACGAAUGCUAAUACCGCAUAAAAACUUUAAACACAAGUUUUAAGUUUGAAAGAUGCAAUUACAUCACUCAAAGAUGAUCCCGCGUUGUAUUAGCUAGUUGGUGGGGUAAAGGCUCACCAAGGCGAUGAUACAUAGCCGACCUGAGAGGGUGAUCGGCCACAUUGGGACUGAGACACGGCCCAAACUCCUACGGGAGGCAGCAGUAGGGAAUCUUCGGCAAUGGACGAAAGUCUGACCGAGCAACGCCGCGUGAGUGAAGAAGGUUUUCGGAUCGUAAAACUCUGUUGGUAGAGAAGAACGUUGGUGAGAGUGGAAAGCUCAUCAAGUGACGGUAACUACCCAGAAGGGGACGGCUAACUACGUG